rnacentral:rRNA from 1 species
CCAAUAGCGUAUAUUAAAGUUGUUGCAGUUAAAAAGCUCGUAGUUGAAUUUCGGGGUUAGUAGAUUGGUCAUGCCUCUGGUAUGCACUGGUCUUACUGAUUCCUCCUUCCUGAUGAACCGUAAUGCCAUUAAUUUGGUGUUGCGGGGAAACUGGACUGUUACUUUGAAAAAAUUAGAGUGUUUAAAGCAGGCUAACGCUUGAAUACAUUAGCAUGGAAUAAUGAAAUAGGACGUUCGAUCUUAUUUUGUUGGUUUCUAGGAUUGACGUAAUGAUUAAUAGGGAUAGUUGGGGGCAUUAGUAUUCAAUUGUCAGAGGUGAAAUUCUUGGAUUUAUUGAAGACUAACUACUGCGAAAGCAUUUGCCAAGGAUGUUUUCAUUAAUCAAGAACGAAAGUUAGGGGAUCGAAGACGAUCAGAUACCGUCGUAGUCUUAACCAUAAACUAUGCCGACUAGGGAUCGGAUGAUGUUAAUUUUUUAAUGACUCAUUCGGCGCCUUAC